UAUGGCUUAUCAGGGAACUGAAAAAUUGGGCUAAAUGGACACAUUUCUGGAGUGUGAACUGCACAGCAGGUGAUCUCUGAAGCAGAGAGCCAGCAGAGUGGCCUUUUUACUCCAGAUCUCUCCCCUGUAUGGCUAGGAAAAAAAAGAGAGAAACCUAAACACUGAAUACAGCAAAUGGAUUUCUGAACCACGUGUCUCUUGCAGCAGAUGUGGAAGUUGAGGCCAGUGAGAUGAAAUAACUUAUCCAAGGCCACCCAGCAAAUGAAGAGUGGAAUGAGGAUGUGCACUUAGAAUCCCUGCUCUAAGUGUCAGCACCCUUCCUCACCAUGUUGUGGUUUGCCGAUUGGAUAAGGAAGACUUCCAAGGCCCCUUCUGUGGCCUCUCCUGUCCACAGUCUGCACCUGUCCUCUCGUUUGUGGUGAAACAGAGAAGUGUGUCUAACACAAAGUGAACAGGAAAUAAGAGUGUGUUUUUAUGCACAGAGAAUGCAACUGCUAUCCAAAGUCAGUUAAUUAAAAAACGUCAAUCUAUGCAAACAUGAAGAAAUGGUCCAGCCGGAAAUUGGACCAAUUUGGAAUUUGGUAAAGUCUACUUAUUUUCAACGUGUCUCUAAAUUUGGGGAAAACAUCUUGGUUGAAUGUUUACAUAAUCAUGUGAUGGGAUAUUUCUUUAAAAAUAUUGUCAUUAUCCCCAAGCUAAGUAUUUAUUCUUUUGUUUAGAAUUUACAUAAGGUAGUAACCUAUGCUUUGGAAAUCACACUAGAGGGGCUCCAAUUCUUUUCUGCAUCUAAACUCAAUAUGGAUGAACCUUGGAUUACUAUGGUAUUUUACUUUUCGGAUUAACAUGGUGAAAAAAAAAUUUAAUAGCAAAGAGCAAAGGUAAGCUCUAAGAGAAUUUGGGUGUUUGGAUCUGGUUGCUUCUUUUUAAAAAGAAUUAAUAUUGAUUGUAAAUCCUUUGGUGAUCAGAAGUACAAGGGAAAUGUAAUCACAUUGUUGGUACAUGGUUCUCACUAGUGUGAGUUAAAUAAUGUUCUCACAAACAAUGGCAGCUUAUUUAUCUAACCUCAUUGUUCCUUAUAAUGACUUUUUGGGAUAAUUAAGGCAGAUUCCCUUAAUCCCAUAAAUGUUUUUAGGAAAAACCUUUCUAAAAUAUAUGGCAAACUUUCUUUUUGUUAAACUUACUGAAACUAGAUGAAACCUCCUAAUAGUUAAGAGAAACCUCAGAAGCAUUCAUUAUUCUGUGGUGCUGGAGAGUCAAGAGCGCUAAAGAUACAACAAUAACAAUCAUCUUCAUAGUAGUUACCAUGUGUGAUCAUAUAGGAUAUUGUGUGCAGGAACAUUUCUGAGUGCUUUUUUCAUAUUAACUCAUUCCAUUCUUAUUAGAACACUAUGAAGUAAGAACCAGUAUCGUUCUCAUGUUGUAGAUGAGUUAACUGAGACAGGGGCACAGGAAAGUUCAGUAAUUGGCCUAAGGUGGCUCUGCUCACAGUGGGUAGAGCCAGGAUUCACGUUCAGGAAGUCUGUCCCCAGAGCCUAGCCCCUCCGGCUUUAUGGUCCCUAAAAUAAGCAUGAGUUCAGGCUCACGUUCGAAUUUUGGCCUUGCCACUUGGCAGUUGAGUGAGGAGGUUAAGUUUGCCUAACUUUUCCAAGUUCUAAUUUCCUUAUCUUAAAAUGAGGAUGAUAAUGGCGCUGACAUUACACGUUGUUGCAAGGAGACAAUGAAAUAGUGCAGGCAAACAGCUUGGCACUUAGGAAGACAUCAAGAAGUGUUAGCUUUUUGUUGUCGUUGCUCUUUUUAUUUCUGGCACCGGAAAUCCCAGGUCCACUGUUGACUGUUAUAGCUGAUUGUAGGCAAUCUACCUCACUUCUCCAAGCCACAGUUUUCCUUCUAUAAAAUGGGGAUCUGUAUGUUUAAUAAAACAGCUCCAUCCAGUUGAAAAUAUAAUACUGUCAUUUUGUGAUCUGGAUAAGAAUUUUAAGAAAAUAUAUCUUAAGGUGCCCUCAAUAUAACUUUGCUACUAUGUGAUGUUUUCCAUUACUUUAUUUCCAAAUUUAUUUACUUACUUUAGUGUUUUAAAUUUUGUCAGAACCAA